rnacentral:rRNA from 1 species
CUACGGGGCGCUGCAGUGAGGAAUAUUGCACAAUGGGGGGAACCCUGAUGCAGCAACGCCGCGUGGAGGAUGACGCAUUUCGGUGUGUAAACUCCUUUUAUAUGUCAAGAAAAUGACGGUAGCAUAUGAAUAAGCACCGGCUAACUCCGUGCCAGCAGCCGCGGUAAUACGGAGGGUGCAAGCGUUACUCGGAAUCACUGGGCGUAAAGGAUGCGUAGGCGGGUUGGAAAGUCAGGUGUGAAAUCCUACAGCUUAACUGUAGAACUGCACUUGAAACUUCUAAUCUAGAGUAUGGGAGGGGGAGAUGGAAUUAGUGGAGUAGGAGUAAAAUCCGUAGAUAUCACUAGGAAUACCAAAAGCGAAGGCGAUCCCCUGGAACAUUACUGACGCUAAGGCGUGAAAGCGUGGGGAGCAAACAGGAUUAGAUACCCUCAUAGUC